rnacentral:lncRNA from 1 species
UGAUGUUUCUGUUGUGCAGAAUGAACCAUCAUCAGAUCUGGACUUCUUCAGUCCCAGGCUAGUGUCUGCAGCCUCCUGCCCCUCAGAGGGAUCCCUGCUCCCUCCCCCAGUUUCUACCUCAAGUCUGUCCCAAGCUCCACUGCCUGCUGCCUUCCCAGCUCCUGUGGUCCCAGCGAGCGCAGUGACCCACAGCACUGGUUCCUUUACGUUCUCUUCUGGACCUGCCCCAGCCUUGGUUCCAAAGGCUGAGCCCGAAGGCCCAGAGUACCCCAGCUCCAGCAUCUCACACCGCCUGGAUGCCCUUGAUCAGCUUCUGGAAGAGGCCAAAGUGACUUCAGGCCUGGUGAAACCUGUUUCUUGCUUCUCUCCUGGGCCCACCGCCUCCCCACUGCUUCCUGCCUCUACCCCAGCCAGGCCUCUCCUGCCCUUCUCAACUGGGCCCGGAAGUCCUCUCUUCCAGUCGCCAGCCUUCCAGUCCCAAGGCAGCCCUCAGAAGGGCCCAG